rnacentral:rRNA from 1 species
GAUGAACGCUGGCGGCGUGCCUAAUACAUGCAAGUCGAGCGAACGGACGAGAAGCUUGCUUCUCUGAUGUUAGCGGCGGACGGGUGAGUAACACGUGGAUAACCUACCUAUAAGACUGGGAUAACUUCGGGAAACCGGAGCUAAUACCGGAUAAUAUUUUGAACCGCAUGGUUCAAAAGUGAAAGACGGUCUUGCUGUCACUUAUAGAUGGAUCCGCGCUGCAUUAGCUAGUUGGUAAGGUAACGGCUUACCAAGGCAACGAUGCAUAGCCGACCUGAGAGGUGGAGCACCCACAAGUGAAGUGAGCCACGGCCCAGACCCCGACGGGAGGCAGCAGGGGCGAAUUUUGGACAAGGGUCGAAAGCUUGACACACCAACUCCGCGUGGAUGAAGAAGGUUUUCGGAUUCUAAAACUAUGUUAGUGGUGAAGAACGAAAGUGAGAGUAACCGUGCCCAGCUUGACGGUACCUAAUCAGAAAGCCACGGCCAACUACGUG